CACGUCGUAGAAAUCAUUGCUUAGCCUCCCCAGAAUCUCGGAUUCCUUGUAGCAAUGGCAACUCAAGCUUCUCUCUUCACACCCACCAUCAUCUCCACCCUUAAAUCAAGCAACCAUGUGAUGGUGCCAUGGAAACAAUCCUCCUUUAUCUCAAUCCCUACCUCUGCUAAAAAAUACUCCAACCCUCAAACAACCAUCAAGGCUACUGCUGCAGAGGGAAAAACUGAGGAGGCUCCUGUGGGAUUCACACCACCAGAGUUGGACCCAAAUACCCCAUCACCAA
rnacentral:lncRNA from 1 species